UCCCCUCUCUCUAGCUGCACAUUUGUGUGUGUUCACCUAACCCGCACCAAUCAGCAGGUCACCAGGGUCAGGUGUAGCAUCUCUUCCCUUGGAUGUACAGCCCUCCCUCCAGGAGCAGCUGUGUCCCUGCUCCACCUACAGCUUUGUUUCAACAGCCUAGUGCCCCUCUAUUGCCAGGACCACCUGGAGCCCAGGCUCCAGCCAAAUCUGUCCCAGAAAUCCUCAAAUUCUACCAUUUUACAACAGAUGCCACAUCCCCUCUAUCCCCAUUUCUGUGAAAUCACAAACACAAACUCUCUGGCCAGUCUGACGUCAUCCAGGUUAGCGGGUCUGAUACUGAGGGACAUUCCAAGUAAUGUUCAGCUAAGAGGCAUUGUGACCAUGAUCAGUGGAGGACUACCUGUUCCACUGUAUCUUGGGGAAAGGAAGUGUGACGAGUCUGGUGCUUUUGAGCAAAUUGACCUGCUCCAGAGUUCUAAAGGGAGGUCCUUGUUGGAACCAAAAGGCCCCGCUGGCAGAUCAGCCUCCUGCUACACCAGUACUUUCAGAAUUACUUAACAUAACUCAGGACCAACACCAGAUAAAGACAGGUAAAAAAACAAACAAACAAAAAAGGAAAUGGAAAUCUACUACCAAGACCUAGUAACAAAGAUCCUUAAUAGAGUGUCAGCAAAUUGAUUCCAGUGAUACAGGAAAAGAAAUCAUGGGAACCUGUAGGGCUUUUGUCCAGGAAUGUUCAGUUAAUGUUUUAAACUAAUUUUAGUAGGUUAGGCCAUUGGGCCAGAAAAACCUAUAGUGCACAUCAUUUUAAAAAAUGUUUUCCCAUUGCCCCACCUAGUGUCUAGGUGGUCCCAGAGCUGUUAGCCUGAGGGUCCCACUAUAGUUCCUCAGCCUGAUUCUUUUUGGUUUUGUUCUGAGACAGGUUCUUUCUAUGUACUAGAUCUAGGCUGGCCUUAAAUCCACUUAUGUAGCCCUGGCUGGUCUCAAGUUUGUCAUGAUCCUCCUUUCUCAGCUUUCCAAGUUUUGGGAUCACAGGCAUGUGCUGCCAUGUCUGUUUCUGCCUGCUCAGGGAGAAUGUUACAGAGCAUUUAGGGGAACAGCCAGGAGGAGACCAAGAAGCAAGGAGGGACUCGGAAUACCUGCAGACCAGGCCUGCUUCUAGUUAGCCUGGCUGAUCCAAAGAAAGCAAUGAGGCUCUAUAACCCAAGACCAAGACCAAGAUGUAGAGGCACAACAACAAAGGCCGCUACUUUGGGAUUGCUUUUACAGAAAUUCAGCAUGGGGCCUGGAUUUGGGAGGGGGCUGAUCCAUUUAUGGGACUUAGGAAUGGCAGGCAGCCAACUUGCAGGGCCAUGUGGGGUGUGGUUAGAAAGUCGUACCUCCACUUACCUUCACUGGUUCUUCCACCCUGCCUGUUAUUCCAAUCACAUUUGUCCAUGAAGGAAAUGAGGCUAAGAAAACACAGCACUGGCCUUGGGAAGGGUUGCACAACACUCCAAAUGUAGAUAAGAGACUGAUGUGUGGAUACAUCUGAAAAGGACCACAGAUACUGUAUGCUGUGUGCAUUUUCCCACGCUUUAAAAAACUGAAAGCAGGCUGGAGGGCCACAUCUUAAAACUGGAGCUUUGUUUCUUUCCUCCCUUGCUGUCUGGCACAUGGGAUAUUAUUGCACAGAGUCUGGGGCUCCCAAAGUCAGGGCUCAAGAAGCCAGAGCCAGAUGCAGGAUUACAGGGAGCAAGGAAAGGAGACAUUGUUUCCAAGGCUUCCUGAAUCGGUUUAGAGCAUUAAUCCAUUUCCUGGGAAACAGCCCAGGCCCCUGAAUGCAUUCCCUAGGAGACAGCACCAGGGGGCCCUCAUCCUGGCUCCUUACUGCCUUGUACAGUAUGGCAAAGCGGAGUGGAAGGCAGGCUGGGAGUAUGCACCCACACCCAGGAAGGUUUGCAGUGGCAGUACUAAGCAAAUGCAGUAAAUGCAAGUAUUGCAGUUGCCAGGAGCAUGCUUAUUUUCUCUUCUCUCCACUCCUUGGGAGCAAGCCACGAAGAACUGAUGCAGAGAGAAACUGUGUCCAUGCUCUCUGCAUGAAGUCUUCCCAGCCCAUUGAUAACGGUUGAGUCAAGAUGGAGCGGUAAGCUAUACCUUCAUCCACCAUGGAUUUUUUUCUUUUUAGCUUGACCCUCAUUGUAUUGACUCAUUUAAUGAGAUACUUUCUGAGGCAGGGGUGAGGUCCCAGCCAGGAGAGGUGCCCUGCCUUGCAUUCUCAUCCUGUCUGCUCUUGCCUGUAACGAGACUAUUUAUGGUUUCAAUUUAGUUUUUAUUAUUAUCGCUGUUUGCUUUUCAGAGUUUGGAGAUGUACAUCAAGGCUUCUCCCGCUUCACAUGCCUCCAAAGCAUUCCUCAGCUGCCAGGCAAGAAGAGCGUCACACUCAUGGUGAACACUGAUAAUUAAAGUCAACAUCUCAGCACGCUGAGUCAAUUUCUUGAACACCUUUUUUAUUGCUAGGAGCCUCCAGUACUGUGGUCCUCUCUUGGUCUUGACCUGACCAUUUCCCAAGUGAUGCAGGAGGCAGUGUGAUCCUUGGACCACCAACGUCUUCUAUGAAGAAACCACAGAGCCCUAUCUUCCUGACCCUCUUCCUCAAGUUCCAGGGCAGAAACAAAGUCGAGUUGUGAGCUGGAGUCCCACCACAGCCCUGAGGUGCACCUGCCUCAGCUCCCGGGAGUGACUUCAACAUGGUUGGGUAUAGUUGUGGAGUCUCAUGUAGAAACCACAGGCCUCCCUUUCAGCUAUGGGACCUCUGCAGAGAAACUGUGGUCCGGGUGGUUAUAAGGAUGCUGGUAUUAGAGGGCCCCCUUUUCAAAGGGCAACCGUGGGCACCCUGAUACUUAGGGAGAGGGUGUCAGGGGCCCACAGUUCUCUAGGGCUUGAACUUUUCUCUCCACCCUUGUGCAUCCAAUGCUCGGUACACAUUGUCCCUCAGCUCAUCAGUGGUGUUCAGUAUUCAUUCAGGUAUAGUGGCAAGAGCAAAGCAACGGAAGGUCUCCCACAUUCUCUAGGGUCUAGCCCCACCAUCCUCACCUUGACCGCAAAGCCUAGGGAUUUACUCAUUGUUGAGGCCAUCAUUCCUCCGUCUCCCCCUUAUC